rnacentral:rRNA from 1 species
GUGGGGAAUAUUGGGCAAUGGGGGCAACCCUGACCCAGCAACGCCGCGUGAGGGAAGAAGGUUUUCGGAUUGUAAACCUCUGUCCUAUGGGAAGAAGGAAGUGACGGUACCAUAGGAGGAAGCCCCGGCUAACUACGUGCCAGCAGCCGCGGUAAUACGUAGGGGGCGAGCGUUGUCCGGCAUUACUGGGCGUAAAGGGUGCGCAGGUGGCCUGACAAGUCAGAUGUGAAAUACCGAUGCUUAACGUCGGGGCUGCAUUUGAAACUAUGAGGCUGGAGAGCAGGAGAGGGAAGCGGAAUUCCUAGUGUAGCGGUGAAAUGCAUAGAUAUUAGGAGGAACACCAGUGGCGAAGGCGGCUUUCUGGACUGUAACUGACACUGAGGCACGAAAGCGUGGGGAGCAAACAGGAUUAGAAACCCUAGUAGUCC